GACGAACGCUGGCGGCGUGCUUAACACAUGCAAGUCGAACGGGUCUGCCCUGUUUUUUGCGGGGUGGGUCAGUGGCGAACGGGUGAGUAACACGUGAGUAACCUGCCCCUCACUUCUGGAUAACCGCUUGAAAGGGUGGCUAAUACGGGGUGUUCUGGCUGUGCCGCAUGGUGUGGCUGGGAAAGAUUCACUUUUGUGGUGUUUUGGUGGGGGAUGGGCUCGCGGCCUAUCAGCUUGUUGGUGGGGUGAUGGCCUGCCAAGGCUUUGACGGGUAGCCGGCCUGAGAGGGUGGGCGGUCACACUGGGACUGAGAUACGGCCCAGACUCCUGCGGGAGGCAGCAGGGGGGGGUAUUGCACAAUGGGCGGAAGCCUGAUGCAGCGGCGUCGCGUGAGGGAUGGAGGCCUUCGGGUUGUGAACCUCUUUCGCCGGUGAAGAAGGUCCUGCUCUUUGUGGUGGGGUUGACGGUAGCCGGGUUAUGAAGCGCCGGCUAACUACGUG
rnacentral:rRNA from 1 species